GCAAUGGUGGUUCAGUGGUAGCAUUCUCACCUUCCAUGUGGGAGACCAGGGUUCAAUUCCUGUCCAAUACA
rnacentral:tRNA from 1 species